rnacentral:rRNA from 1 species
GCUACGCUAAUACCGCAUACGAUCUAUGGAUGAAANCGGGGGAUCGCAAGACCUCGCGCGAUUGGAGCGGCCGAUAUCAGAUUAGGUAGUUGGUGAGGUAAAGGCUCACCAAGCCGACGAUCUGUAGCUGGUCUGAGAGGACGACCAGCCACACUGGGACUGAGACACGGCCCAGACUCCUACGGGAGGCAGCAGUGGGAAUUUUGGACAAUGGGCGCAAGCCUGAUCCAGCAAUGCCGCGUGCAGGAUGAAGGCCUUCGGGUUGUAAACUGCUUUGUACGGAACGAAACGGUGAGCUCUAAUACAGUUUGCUAAUGACGGUACCGUAAGAAUAAGCACCGGCUAACUACGUG